rnacentral:lncRNA from 1 species
UUGGUAUGGUGGGACAUGUAAGAAUUCAGUAAAGAUUUCUUAGUUUUGAUAUGGAUUUGCAGAGAGAGAGUAGAGUUUCUCGCUCUAAAGUUCCAAUUAUACGUAACAUCCCUCAUUUCCACUUUCCCUCUCUAAUGUAGUUUAAAGAAAAAUUAAAUUGCUCAAUCAUUUGAUUUAUCUUAAUAAUUAAGAGGAGAAGAGGAGAGAAAAAAGAUAAGAAAAAGAAGGUUUUCAUUAACCACUGAAUUAAGAACAGUUAACAUUACCUAAAUAUCAAAACCACAUGACUAGAGUGAAAGAUUAAGGUCCAACAUAUGAUGAUUAUUUUUUCCUUCUUUUGAAUCUUCUUCUUUAUUUCCUACAAUUUGUUCUUCUCCUCCUCCUCCUCUUUCUUCUUGUUUCUUGGAAUUAGAAGAAGGACCUGCGGCUGCAGUGGUGUCAAUUCCCAUGAAAUCUUGUGGAUUCCAUUUAACUCCAAUAUUAGCUGCACUAGUAUUUGCAGACUUAAUAUUAAUAUGAUUGUCUUCAAAAAUCUUUGAUGAUUUAUCUUCUUGUACAUGAUUUCGGGCAAUCAAACGGUCACGUACAUCCUUAGUGCUUCUAAUUAGAGCAAAAAAAUUCUCCAUUUUCUCUUCCUCAUCAUCAUCUUCUUCUUCUUGUUCUACUAAUUUCUCAUUCUCCAUAUUCUUCCUCUUUGUCCUUCUCUCUCUAUCCAUAAUAUGCCUUUCUGAUAAUGAGAGAGGGGGCCAAGCUAUGGCAACACAAAUUAGAAAUAUUCUCUUAGAAGGUCCAACAUAUGAUGAUUAUUUUUUCCUUCUUUUGAAUCUUCUUCUUUAUUUCCUACAAUUUGUUCUUCUCCUCCUCCUCCUCUUUCUUCUUGUUUCUUGGAAUUAGAAGAAGGACCUGC